GUGAAGGGGAACCAGAGCGCACAAGGGAACUGACUCAGGAGGCAGAGAAGAUGGGCAUCCUCAGCGUAGACUUGCUGAUCACACUGCAAAUUCUGCCAGUUUUUUUCUCCAACUGCCUCUUCCUGGCGCUCUAUGACUCGGUCAUUCUGCUCAAGCACGUGGUGCUGCUGUUGAGCCGCUCCAAGUCCACUCGCGGAGAGUGGCGGCGCAUGCUGACCUCAGAGGGACUGCGCUGCGUCUGGAAGAGCUUCCUCCUCGAUGCCUACAAACAGCUAAAUUGUCCUCCAUCAGGUUUUAGCAAAGAUGGACACAUUUUAUGACUAGUAUAUGAAGCUUAUAAAAGCAGACUACUGGUCUACUCACAUUUGGAUUUAUGGAUGGUGAAAUUGGGUGAGGAUGCCCCCAAUUCCAGUGUGGUGCAUGUCUCCAGUGCAGAAGGAGGUGACAACAGUGGCCACGGUACCCAGGAGAAGAUAGCUGAGGGAGCCGCAUGCCACCUCCUUGACUUUGCUAGCCCUGAGCGCCCACUAGUGGUCAACUUUGGUUCAGCCACUUGACCUCCUUUCACGAGCCAGCUGCCAGCCUUCCGCAAACUGGUGGAAGAGUUCUCCUCAGUGGCCGACUUCCUGCUGGUCUACAUUGAUGAGGCUCAUCCAUCAGACGGCUGGGCGAUACCUGGGGACUCCUCUUUGUCUUUUGAGGUGAAGAAGCACCAGAACCAGGAAGAUCGAUGUGCAGCAGCCCAGCAGCUUCUGGAGCGUUUCUCCUUGCCGCCCCAGUGCCGAGUUGUGGCUGACCGCAUGGACAAUAACGCCAACAUAGCUUACGGGGUAGCCUUUGAACGUGUGUGCAUUGUGCAGAGACAGAAAAUCGCUUAUCUGGGAGGAAAGGGCCCCUUCUCCUACAACCUUCAAGAAGUCCGGCAUUGGCUGGAGAAAAAUUUCAGCAAGAGAUGAAAGAAAACUAGAUUAGCUGGUUAAAGGUAUGAUUAUAAGAGAGCUUAUUGUUUUAAAAAGUUGUAUAAAGGCAAGGACAUUAAGAACUGAAUCCCUAUUUCAACAGAGCCCUAUUGGCUUACUGAAAGACAGGAGUUUAUUGGAAGAACAUGAAUCUCUAACAGCUCCAUACUUCUUUCACUACUCAAAUGGCAUUGGGCUAAGUAGUAGCCGUAUCACCUCUCUUCUUAGUAAAAAGCCCUAUGUGAAAAGAUCCCAAGACGGAGAGGAAGAAACCCUGAUUCAGCGUGUGUUCAUUCUGCAUUGAGAAGGAACUGAUACAGCUGAUGCAUGCUUUGAGACCAGAGGAAAAGGCUUACCUGAAUAAUUACUACAUUAGGGAAGCCACUGUCUACGUUAAGAUAAAGGGUAUUGCCUUGGCUCUAUUUGGCAUGGAUGGAGCCCAGUUGGAAAAUUCCCAAAUGUUACAAGUUCUUGAGCCCAGGCCAUGUGGUUAGACGUUGGUGGUGUGAUUAGACGUUGGUGUUAAGGUUAGACCUUAUGUUAGAGUCAUUUCUGAUGUUCCAGUUUCUAGCCAUGUAGUGCUCUCAGUCUUUAUAUCCCAGAAUUUAUUGUUAUAUUUUAGAUACCAAGAAUGAUCCCUCAAUCUGGGAGGUUAGAAUGAUCAUCUGUAAUCUGAUGGUUAAUUUCUAGGCAGGUGGAGAGAGUGCUAAAAAAGAAAUGAAAUCGACAAGCUAGGGAGCAGGAGGCAGAAAGAUUUAGAAAAUUCACAGUUUCUAACCUUAAGCUGUAGAGAGUGGGACUCAUUUCUUAACCACAAAAACGUAGAAACAUACACAAGGCCAGAAAAAGAAGAAGGAGCUCAACUAAAGGUGGCACAGAGAAUACACAUAUAAAAACAAUAUAUUUGUCAUAUGCUCCUAGAGAGGAGAAAGGGGAGAUGGAAAGAAAAGAAAUACUUAAAUAUUUGUAAUUGUGAGGGGUUUCUUUUGGAAAUAAUUAUUUUUGAACCAUGUAUGUGGUAUGUAUAUUUUCAGUGGGUUAAUUAUACCCCAUGAUACCUAUUAAAGGAAAACCAGUGGGUCUGGUGGUGCUGGUGUUUUCCUCUCCAUUCCUACAAUUACUAUGUGGCCCAAGUCAUUCCUAAUCUCAGUCUCUAUAGCAGUGUUCUCUCUGAAUGCUGCGUUGAAGAAAUUAUACAUACAUACAUACAUACAUACAAAUAUAUAUAUAUAUAUACACACACACACACACACACACAGCUGCUGUGGGAGGUAGGUACCAUGGCCAUUCAGCACAGCCUUGAUUUCCUCCCACAGUAGGUGAGCUAUAAUGAAGAAUAGGUGCAAACAAACAAGCUUACUUCCAUUGCAAAAUAGAGGAAGAGGAAGUUAGAGAUAAUUCCGAUCAACCAUUUUGGAGGCUUUGUUAUAAGGCAACCCCCAGUAUCAUGGAAUUUCCAUUGACCUUUGAAUUUGGACUUGGAUCUUCCUUUGGUCCCAUUAGCUGAGGUUUAGUUCCUCAGUAUCUAAAGUCCCUAUAGUAUAUGAUUAUAAUGCUAUUUUAAUAUAUAUAUUUUUUCUUUUUAAAAUAGACACUAUAGUUUUACCCAUAAGUAAUAUUUAAGAUUAUAGCCCCCAAAAGAAUAGACCAACCAAUUUCAUAUCAUAAUUUCUUUUGUAAAUGUGAGACUAUUAUGAAAUCAUAGUAUAUGAUUGUAUUUGAUGGUACAGUCAAAGGAUCUUUUGUCCAUUCCAUUAAUAACUGAAUAAAAAAAUAAAAUGGAUAGAUAAAAACUAAAGUUGAAAAUACAUUCUUAAACUAGUUGUCUGAAAUGAGAAAAGCAUGAGAACUAGGUGUGCAAGAACCAAAAGUAUUUUAUUUUAUUUUAUUUUUUAAAUGGGAGCAACAUAUCAGUCACGUCACUAGCUGGUAUAUUGUGUAAAUAUUAAAGCUCCGUUGUGACUGAUUUUUCAUGGCAACAUCAGCUUUCUAAUGUUUUAAAUUCUAUAAAAACCACCCACAAAGAAACAAAACAAAUUUCAAAAAUGUGAUGUUAUCUAAUGAGUUGCUGGAAAAUCAUACUGAGAAUAAUCAUUUCCGAUUCCUCAGUUGUUAACCUCUACAUUCAAGGCUUAUCUCGGCCCCCAUUGAUUUUUAACCUCAAAAUGGUGUUGAGAUUUAUGUGGGACGCUAAAGCAGUAACAUAAAGAACCCAGUUGCAGCACAUUCACACUGUUGUCCUUAAGCUUCCCCUUUGUUCUAUAUGUACGAUAAUGUAACAGUAUGUCAGAUAAGCCGGUGGGGGGAUGAGAUUUGGCUGAGGCAGUGCUAGUCAACUGGGGAAAAGGAUGAUGGAAAAAUCACCCAGUUGUGCUAUAUUUUUAAAGAAGGAGGUCGUUUAUGUGUGUGCAGACAAUUCUCCCUGAGGAUAGCCCAAUGGAGAAAUGAAGCAGAGGAAGGAAACAUAGAAAGACAUAGGCUACCAGGGAGGAAGAUGUUCAAUAGAACAUGUAAGAAUUUUCUGGAAGAAAGGCUGUGGAAGGGCCAAUGGAGAAAAUGAAUGGACAAAGCUCAGGAAUCCUACACUAUGUAGAAUGCCUUGGUGUUAUCAGGGUUAAGUCUGUAAUUAUGUAACCUAUUUAUCGCAACAUGAAUUUUUAUGAUUUCUUGUGGUGUAUUCUUUUAUGAAAUUAACAAGAACUCAUUAUUUUGAGGUAGAGGAAAAUCAAUGCUUUAGCUGAUAUGCUGAGAAAUUAUUAGUUUGCCAAUACUCACCUACCUAUCAUGUGUUUUAUAAGGUAUGUUCCUUUGAAGAAUUGUAGUUCUUAGUCUCACAGGGAAAAGUAUAUCUAUUUAUAUAUCAUAGUAUAAAUCUAUGAUAUAUUUAUAUCAUAUAUAAAAGUCUGAGUUCUCUUUCUUAUUCCCUAAUCAUGUUUCUCCCAUAGGCUGUGUUUACAUGGAGCUAUCAGUUAGGCCUUUUAAGCUGCAUUAGCUUGUCUAUUAUUGAAAUAGUUUCCAAGAAAAUUUAGAUAUUAUCAUAGCAUCUGGGUUUACUCAAACACUUAUUGUUUGAAAGACUUAUGUCUUGGAACUAUCAAAAACUGACUUUAUUUAUUGCUUAGUGAAAAUAUUAGUGGGAUCAACAAUGAUUUUCUUGAACGGGCAUGAAUGGAGAUGCCUGCAUAGUAAUGUAGAAGUGUUUCAUACAGCUAUUAAAAUGUAACUGACCUCCUUAGAGGCAGAUUAGUAACUGUUCCUGCUUUGUAUAGCUAAGUGACAGCCACUUAACUUACAUGACUUUCUUUUUUCACAUUGGGUCUCUGGUCCUGUGUCUUCACCUCAUUUAUAGAACGUCUCCUUGAUUUUUGGUAAUAUCAACUUCCCAGGGGUCUGCUUAGUUAAUUUUUUCUCCCAUUAACCAGGAAGUGCUUAUUCUCUCAUCAAGGUGGGAAGAAUAGCCUAUUGUCUUUCAUUUUGCCUGAGUGUAUUUUACUAUUUGGGCUCUUAAAUAAAAAUUAUGAAAUAUCGUGAGGUCACAUGUUGGUGCUGCCUUGCUGCACAAAAUUCUAGAGGGCAGGUUAGAGACAAUAUGUAUGCCUUUGGGAAAAGCCAAAGGUGGAUUAUAAGGUGUUCUCAGCACGUCCUGUGGGCUAUGUGCAAAGCAAGAGGGAUUGACUGAUUUACAGGAUGUCCCUUUAUGUCAAUCAUAAGAGGAUGGAUGAAUCUGGACAUUUGUUCCACCCGACCUCUGACUGAUGGUUUGGAAAAUAAGUUUAAUUAGAGUCAUAUGACCAUUGAAAAAGGAAAAAUGUAGACACUGACUUCUGUCCUACUGAAGGAUUAAUGAAAACCUUUACCAGCAUUUAGAGCUUUUCAGAACAUCCCCAAUGUCAUGUGUCUCAGCAGUGGAGACUGACAGUAAGGCUUUUGACUUUAGGAGCCUCUUUUUUUUCCCCCCUUAAUGGUAUUGCCAAAAAUCAGAGUUAAAAUAUAUAUAGUUAGAUUCCAACUUCCUCCUUCACUCUAAAAAUAGAAUCCAAACCCACUCUUCAUAUAUACUUCCGGAAUGGGGCUUGAGUACCAAUGUCUGCUUUGCAACUGGCACAAUCUUGGUCAUGUCCUGAGGCUCUCUAAGAAAAGAGAGGAUCUAGGGUGGGAGAGCUAGAAAGUUGCUAACUGGGAAGAACAAGGCCCUGAGGGCUUGGUCUACAAAUCUGGGAAGAUUUGAAAACAAACUUCUCACAACUGAAGGAAGGCUGAAGGCUGCUGCAAGUCAUUGAGUGACUUUAGGAUGAGCAAAACAUCGGGCCACUUCCUAAUGCCCUAUGUGUAUAGUACCAGAAGCAAGGUCUCAGAUUUAACAGACCCAGCUCUGUUCCAAGGUGAGUCUGAACCAAUAGAAGGCAAACAUGUGCAGAUAUCCAAACAAGACUGCUCAUGCAAGUCAGGGCUGACUGCCCGUCUUAGGCAGCAACAGCAGAGCUCCAGGGAGCUUAUUCAAUAUUUACUGAGACUUCGAAGACCCAGCAGAUGUUUAAUGAAGUCACUAUUUUGGCUCAAACCCUCCAUUUCUCCCCCUCCCCUGAAAAAGCAAACAGGUAAACACAUGAAUGAAAGAAACCCACAGAAGGGGAUGGGAAAUAAAGAAAAUUCUCUCAAGACUUCUCCAGGCCCAUGUCACUGGUCAGUGUGGGUUUUAUGUGUGUUAGGAUUGGGGGAUGUAAAGAAAUAAGUAUCCAGUAUUUUAUAACCAAAGCAAUGAAAUGAUAUUGGGUAGGGAAUGUUGGCCAGUUUUGUUUAGUUUUGCAUCACAUUGUCACCAGACUCACUAGCCCAAGUAAUCGGGCACCCGAAGAGGGAGACAGAGAUGUGCAGAGUUGACCAGUGUGCGGAUGAUAACUACUGACGAAAGAGUCAUCGACUCAGUUAGUGGUUGGAUGUAGUCACAUUAGUUUGCCUCUCCCCAUCUUUGUCUCCCUGGCAAGGAGAAUAUUCGGGACAUGAUGCUAAGAGUCCUGGGUAAAUGUGGUGAGAAUGCAUGCGUGCAUAUGCUACUCAUAUGUGCUUCUCAGUUGCAGAAAAUGAACUGCUUUGGAGAUUAUCAGUAGAAAGAGUGCUAUCAUAUGGGUGCUGAGUGGUAUGUGUGCUUAUACAAUUUGUUCUUGUAUUUUAAUAAACUUUGAAUAAAAGAAUAAAGCUA